AGAGUUUGAUCCUGGCUCAGGAUGAACGCUGGCGGCGCGCCCAAUACAUGCAAGUCGAACGAGGCCCUUUGUAUUCGUAUGAAGGUGUCCUAGUGGCGAACGGGUGAGUAACACGUAGGUAACCUGCCCCAAAGAGGGGGAUAACCUCGGGAAACUGAGGCUAAUACCCCAUGUGCUCCACGGUAUUAGAUGACCAUGGAGUAAAGGAGUAAUCCGCUUUGGGAGGGGCCUGCGGCCCAUCAGCUAGUUGGUAGGGUAAUGGCCUACCAAGGCUAUGACGGGUAGGGGGCCUGAGAGGGUGGUCCCCCACACUGACACUGAAACACGGGUCAGACACCUACGGGUGGCAGCAGUAGGGAAUAUUGCACAAUGGGCGAAAGCCUGAUGCAGCAACGCCGCGUGCGCGAUGAAGGCCUUCGGGUUGUAAAGCGCUUUUCUGGGGGAAGAGAAAGGACGGUACCCCAGGAAUAAGUCUCGGCUAACUACGUGCCAGCAGCCGCGGUAAAACGUAGGAGGCAAGCGUUAUCCGGAUUUACUGGGCGUAAAGCGUGUGUAGGCGGUAUGGUAAGUCGGACGUGAAAGCUCCUGGCUCAACUGGGAGAGGCCGUUCGAAACUUCCAAACUUGAGGGCAGUAGAGGGAGGUGGAAUUCCGGGUGUAGCGGUGAAAUGCGUAGAUAUCCGGAGGAACACCAGUGGCGAAGGCGGCCUCCUGGACUGUCCCUGACGCUCAGACACGAAAGCUAGGGGAGCAAACGGGAUUAGACACCCCGGUAGUCCUAGCUGUAAACGAUGCAGACUUGGUGUUGGGAGUGUAAAAACUUUCAGUGCCGGAGCUAACGCGUUAAGUCUGCCGCCUGGGGACUACGACCGCAAGGUUAAAACUCAAGGAAUUGACGGGGGCCCGCACAAGCAGCGGAGCGUGUGGUUUAUUCGAUGCUACACGAGACCUUACCAGGCUGACAUGACGAGUAGAUCCGAAAGACGACGACUGUAUCAGUCAGGAGCUGUCACAGUGCUGCAUGCUGUCGUCAGCUCGUGCUGAGGUGUGGGUAGGUCCCGUACGAGCGCA
rnacentral:rRNA from 1 species